GCCUCAGGGGGCAGCUGCAAACUGGUUGCACCGUCUGCUCCAGGGAAAGAUCGCAACAGGCUUCUUUUUCUAUCACAACAGUUCCAGGACUUCCAGAUCCCAGCCGAACGGAACCGCCGAAAGACAUCCCCGAAGUGACUCUCUGGCAAUUUGAUGACUGCUGGAUUCCACUUGCAUCACACUAAAGCUCUUGACAUUAGGCAUCCACCACUCCCUCCUCUCCUGGUAUUCUCGGCUCCUGCCAAGGUUCUCAUGGAAAGGAAACCCAGACCAGAAUCCUCUCCCCGACUCUACUUAGAGCCUGAGGUCCUCAAGCCACUCUCUGCUAUCGCCUAAAUGCCUCUAGGAAUACAAGUAAAAGACCCCAACCCUUGGAUUCUUAGUUAUAUGACAAAUCCACAUCCAAAGUGAGUGACCCUCAGUGCCUAAUAUCUGGCGAGUUUGAAUCUACUCCACUGGUGAUUCCCUGCCUUGAGGACACAAACGCACUGCUGUGCUUAGACUGUCAAGACGGCUCUUCUUUCCUCAAACGUUUUGGUACAGUACUUCGAGUUUGGGAGUCAUUUGCCAGACAGCAUUGAACGGAUUAAUUACCUGGAUAGACGGGGUGCAAAAAACUGCCAAGGAAGAGACUUAUGUGCCAACAUUUGCCAUGGGGUUUAUUUACACUGGACUAUUUGCACGAGAUAAAAGGAGAAAGCACAGCAGAAACCAAAUGAUGUCAGACAAAGGGCAUCUGAGACAGGAAGCGAUAAGGAUGCAGGUGAUUUAUAAAAAUGAAAAAAAAAAGCUCUAAGUCUUGAAGUGACUAAACAGAUGUAAUUUUCCUAACACGCUCCUAAAGGUAGAACCAUUUCCAUGCCCCGAUAAUCCGGGAGUAUUUCAAGGAAAUGAAUUAAAAUCCUUCUGAAACAAAACUCCUCUAUAGAUCCCUGGCCUGUCACCCACCCAACUGAUUUCUCUGGAGUUCAACAGUCUUCAAACGGCUCCCCGACUUGAGUUUCAUUUCUUCACUAGAAGCGUCAUUUGGGGAUUGGAGCUGGCUUCAGGGAAACUUAAGACUGAGGCAUGUUGAACAAAGAAUUCUAGAUCUUAGUCACAAAUCAUUUUUCCCAGUUAGAGAAAUAAACAUAUCACCUCUGAGGAAAA